UUUGAUUAUGGCUCGGAUUGAACCCGGCUGGCGGGAUGCUUUUACGCUGCAGUCAGGAACGUAACGGACUUCGGUCUGGUGGCGAGUGGCGAACGGGUGAGUAAUGUAUCGGAACGUGCCUAGUAACAUGGGGAUAACUGCGCGAAAGCGCUCGUACUUUCUCAGGGAAAGCGGAGACCUUCGGAUACUCGCACUAUUCGACAGCCGAUAUCGGAUUCCUUCGUAGUUGGUGGGGUAACUGGCUCCUGAGGCGGCGAAUCCAUGCUUCGGUUGCAGAGGACGAUAAUACGCUGGGACUGAGACACGGCCCGGAAGACUCACGGGAGGCAGCGGUGGGAAUUACCGGACAAUGGGGAAACCCUGAUCCAGCCAUCUGCGUGCCGCCGAUGAAGGCCUUCGGUUUAUAAAGCUUACUUUGGCGAGAAAGAAACGGCUGGAUAAUGCCGUGCAACUGACGAAUACCUGCCGGAAUAGCCACCGGCUAACUACGUGCCAGCAGCCGCGGCGGUAAAUACGUAAGGGUACAAGCGUUAAUCGAAGGAUUACUGGGCGUAAAGCGUGCGCAGGCGGUUCCGGAAAGAAGAUGUGAAAUCAGAGCUUAACUUUGGAACUGCAUUUUUGCUACCGAAGGCUAGAGUAUUCAGAAAGGAGGUGGAAUUCCGCGUAUCAACAGUGAAAUGCGUAGUCAUGGAGGAACCUCAAAUGGCACGAAACAGCCUCCUGGGAUGCUGACGCUCAUGCACGAAAGCGUGGGAGCAAACAGGAUUAGAUACCCUGGUGGUCCACGCCCUAAACGAUAUUCAACUAGCUGUUGGGGCCUUCAGACGCAGUGUACAACUAACACCGUGGUUGACCGCCUGAAGCCUAGUGCGGAAUUAAAACUCAAAGGAAUUGACGGGGACCCGCACAGCGGUGGAUGAUGUGGAUAUUAAUUCGAUUGCGCGAAAAACCUUACCUACCUUGACCUUAUCAGAAUCCGAAGAAUUUGGGGUGCUUUACUAGAGAACCCGAACAGGUGCUGCAUGGCUGUCGUCAGCUCGUGUCGUGAAUCAUUGGAUUAAGUCCGAAAACAGAGCAUAGCCAACAUCAUUGAAUUUGCUACGAAAGGGCACUCUAAUGAGACUACUGGUGAAGCCGGAGGAAGGUGGGGAUGACGUCAAGUCCUCAUGGCCCUUAUGGGUAGGGCUUCACACGUCAUACAAUGGUCGGGACAGAGGGUCGCCAGCCCGCGAGGGGCCAAUCCGAAAGCCCGAUGUAGUCGGAUCGCAGUCUGCAGCUCGACUGCGUGAAGUCAGAAUCGCUAGUAAUCGCGGAUUAGCAUAUCGGUGAAUACCGUUCAGGUCUGUACACACCGCCCGUCACACCACGAGUCAGGUUUUUACCAGAAGUAGUUAAGCCCUAACCAUCAGGAGGGCGAUUACCAUACGGUAGGAUUCAUGACUGAGGUGAUCGUAACAAGGUA
rnacentral:rRNA from 1 species